UACGUAGGUGGCAAGCGUUGUCCGGAAUUACUGGGUGUAAAGGGAGCGCAGGCGGGAAGCCAAGUCAGCUGUGAAAACUACGGGCUUAACUUGUAGACUGCAGUUGAAACUGGUUUUCUUGAGUGAAGUAGAGGUUGGCGGAAUUCCGAGUGUAGCGGUGAAAUGCGUAGAUAUUCGGAGGGACACCGGUGGCGAAGGCGGCCAACUGGGCUUUAACUGACGCUGAGGCUCGAAAGUGUGGGGAGCAAACAGG
rnacentral:rRNA from 1 species